GAUGAACGCUGACAGAAUGCUUAACACAUGCAAGUCUUUGGCGAAGCUGUGCUUGCACCGCCUAGCCAAGGCGGACGGGUGAGUAACGCGUAAGGAACUUGCCCUGCAGUCAGGGAUAACAGACGGAAACGACUGAUAAGACCGGGUAAAGUCAGGCGGACUCAUUUCCGGCCUGAUGAAAAGAGAUGCUGCAGGAGAGCCUUGCGUCCUAUUAGCUUGUUGUGGGGGUAACGGCCCACCAAGGCGAUGAUAGGUAGCCGGCCUGAGAGGGUGGACGGCCACAAGGGGACUGAGAUACGGCCCUUACUCCUACGGGAGGCAGCAGUGGGGAAUAUUGGACAAUGGGGGCAACCCUGAUCCAGCAAUGCUGUGUGCACGAUGAAGGUUUUCGGAUUGUAAAGUGCUUUCAGCAGGGAAGAAAAAAUGACGGUACCUGCAGAAGAAGCGACGGCUAAAUACGUG
rnacentral:rRNA from 1 species